rnacentral:rRNA from 1 species
UACGGGGGGGGCAAGCGUUGUUCGGAAUUACUGGGCGUAAAGGGCGCGUAGGCGGUUGGAUAAGUCAGCUGUGAAAACCACGGGCUUAACUCGUGGCCUGCAGUUGAGACUGUCUGGCUUGAGUGUGGGAGAGGAGAGUGGAAUUCCUGGUGUAGCGGUGAAAUGCGUAGAUAUCAGGAGGAACACCGGUGGCGAAGGCGGCUCUCUGGACCACAACUGACGCUGAGGCGCGAAAGCUAGGGGAGCAAACAGGAUUAGAUACCCUGGUAGUCCUAGCUGUAAACGAUGGAUACUUGCUGUGGGGGGUGUUAAAUCCCCCUGUGGCGGAGCUAACGCAUUAAGUAUCCCGCCUGGGGAGUACGGUCGCAAGGCUGAA